rnacentral:piRNA from 1 species
UGAUGGGAAUGGCACUAAGUAAAUUCC